CAUUAGAGACUAUAAACAAUUCUCAGAAGCAGCCAUUUACACAAAAAUAUUCAGGAAGUAAUGGAGGCUGUGGUAGACUCAACAUCAUGUCACUGCAGGACUUAAGUGAGUGUGACUGCCUAUCAUUCUGUGAAGAUGGGGCUGCCCCAAUUGGUCCUGUUCACGGCCUGCUGCCUCCUGCUUGGCCUUGCAGGGGUGUUUUUGUGCAGAACACUGAAGAGGGCGGGGUAUGGCUGCACUGAGGAGCCAAUCAGGAAGGACCCAGAGAGCAGGAUUGAUUAUUCUCCAGAGAUGAUUGAGAUUUUCGAAGAUAACAGUGCUGAAACAAUGGGACAGGUAGUUCAUCACAUCAUGAAAAACAAAGCUUUGACAGCCUGAGAAGCAGAGGAGAAGACAUCAGAAGUGGCAAUCAUUUUGCUUAAAUGAACUAAAAGGGUUGUUAAUUUCUGUGCUGCUCAUGCUUAUUGAUUGCUUCCAGAAAUCAUCAUUCAUAUAUUCAUACUUAGGAACAACAGAAAUCAUUAAAAGACCCUCAGCCGAGUCAUGCAGGCCUCAUUACUGAGCUCGUUACAGUAACUGUGAACCUAUUCAUGGUGAUCCGUGUGACCACUGAAUGUAUAUUAUAACAUACUUAUCAGGAUGUGAACCCGUUUUUUGAAGCUCAACCCAUAACAUGGAAAAUGUUAUGAUGGACACAAAACAACCGUGAAGGUGAAAAAGGUCUUGUUAUUAAUUUACACAGGAGGCUGUCCUGAAGUAAGGAAAAUCAAGCUACAUGCAAUAUUAAAAACACCACUACAGUGCAUUUGUUUUCUAGCUAUUUUUAGAGCAACCAAACAUCCCAUAACGUGAAAACACACAAAGAGACAGUAACAUUAGGUGGAAUGAAAACCAAACACCUAACCUACGCUCUACAUGAGUGUAUCAGGGCUUGGCAUUAAUUGAACCACUCACUCACAACACACUCACAUGAAUAAAGAGGUGGGUGAAUUCCUGGCACAUUUAGGUUUGGUCAUUAUCUUUACAUAGAUGCCAUUUUUUUUUUCUUCACAGCUCACACGAAUGUCACAGACAGACAUUAACAAAGUGGAGAAUAUCAGAGUAAACUUUCUCUGAAGCAUAAAGCAUUAUGUAGCUUGAUGCAUUCAGAGCACCUUUAUAAUACAACAAAGUAAUUAUUUAUUUAUGCCUGACUAAACAUUUAUUUACUGUAUAUCCAUAAUGUUUCUUGACAAUCCACAUAUCGCCUUUGGACAUUUACCGAUGCAAUUGUUUAUUCUUCUUCUUUCUUGGCCCUAGGUCAUUGCUUUUCUCCCACCAGGGACAGGCAAUUGUCAUACUGUGGCUGUAUCAAUACAGCAAUGUUAUUGAAAUAUUAGAGUACAUUUUUAUUUAAAUGAUUUAUGUCUGAUGUUAGUGAAAUGAUCUUUUUUUGAGUGUAGUGAGUAGCAAAGUCAAUGUGGUCUAUAUCAUGUCUAAUAUAUCCACUGUAAUUCGUGUGAAUGACUGAUCUAGCAUUGAAAGUAUU